UCCCAGCAGAUAGGCGCUAUGGCAGCAUACCUAGGGGACAAGAGGCAGGGGGGGGGAUACGGCCAUUGUCAAAGGAGAGAAGUAGGUCAUUAAGCACUUUUAGGACAACGGUUUCUGUCCUGUGAUGCGGUUGUUAUGUUUUGUAAAAAAUCAGACGGACAACUUAUGAAUUGAACUGAGAUUACUGCAGCUUGUGUUUCUCCAUCCAUAUUUUACAGAUGACAUCACUCACGUAUAUCAACUACGGGUACUCCAGUGAAACAUAUGUAGCCGGUUGAACCCCGGUAGUGAUCAAAUUGAUUAGGUUCACCUGGUGCGACGGCACGUAAUGUGCACGUAACCUCCUCCGGUAUUUAGAAGUGCCUCGGGAUUGUUUGAAACUCAUGCGGUCGUCCCUGAAAAAAAAGCUGUUUGUUGCGGGUAGCUAUGCCGUUUGUCCAUGGAAGCUUGUGAGGCUUAUUCCAGCCGAGUGUGUGAGUGCACCGAGAGCUCCGGGCUUCUCUUUCUUCCCUGGGUCAUCAGUAGCGUUUACCCCUGAGAGUAAAGAUGCUUCUGAUUACGUCGAUACAAACUUCCAUCUGAUGUGUGAACUACAUAGGAUCUUGGUUGCUCAUGUUUCCCCUCAACCACAGCUGGCUGCCAAGUCUCCCCUCUUUGAAUCCUGACAUCCUCUCCAGUUUGCAGCUCAGGUGGUUGCUGGCAUCCUGGGUUUGAAGAGUUUUGCGGUGGCUGUUUCUCCUUUUCCCACCCCGGUUCAUUGCCUCCCUCCAUAGGAGCAGCCAAGCCCAUCGGGCAGGUAAAAUUAUAAUUU